rnacentral:lncRNA from 1 species
AAAAAUCAUUACAAUCAUUCCUUAUAUAAAUUUAAUUCUAAAUUUUAUUUUUGAAUCAAGAAAAAAUAUUGAUGAAGCACAGUCACAUGACAAAAUUAUAUCUAUGAGCUGCCAGACAAAAAACAAUCAGAAGAUGUGUUACAUCCAAAAUUGAGAUAUCAGCAAAUAUGUAACACUAAAUCAGGACAAUUACAUGUUAACAUCAUAUGAUUUGUACUAGACUGAAAUGCUGAAUCUCUUUUUAUCGUCUUAGCUCACAAGAUUAUACGUGUACUCCAUAUGAAGACAUGACAACCUGUACAUACACAUUCCUAUUUCAGUUUAACUAGUCAUUGUUUUCCCUCUUGAAUUGAGUGGAGAAGCAGUAGACAUUUGGAUCAAUUAUAUUAAGUCUUUGCUUUGACCUGGACCACACCCA